UUGCAGGUGAACCAAAGUUGGCUAUCUUUAUCUGGACUGAGCUAAAUCUAAAAAGGGUGAAAUAUCUAAUCUAUAAUUGUAAACGCAAGCUCAGCGAGAAAGGAACCCUUUUAACAAUCUGUCAUUAUCAGAAAGGAUUUCAUGCAUUUGACUUGAAUUGAGAUACAGUCAACAGUGAUGUCAUCAUUUCUGUUCAAAGGAAGAAAGGUCUGCGUGUGAACUACUUAUGACUUGACAUUUAUUGGAUAUCCGGAGGGUGGGAGUUAAUUCUUUUCAUAUGUACGCCUGAAUAUUAAUGACUAUUUGCUUGGUUGCACAUUCCCAAACCACUUAUGAAAUGAAAGUUCAACUUUAUCACUUUGAUAGUUUUACAAUAUUAUGUAAACUACUGUAUUCUAUUGUGAAUUAUACAUGAACAAAAUUAAA